AACGCACACUGCGCCCCCUGGUUCUCCAGGAGGCUUAUCUAUUUCAGUGCCAUUUAAACUUCUCUAAUAAAGAAGACCCCUUGUUUAAGGGAUCCUCCUAAUUAGGAUAAUGAGAGCUUGAGGCCUGUGCCCCAUCUCUUUAAAUUUAUUCUGGGAGAGAUACUUAUAGAGAAUCUCUUUUGACGUAGAUUGAAUAAAUUACUAGAAAGAGUGAUGCUAUUUGGGUAUCUACCUAGUCUUGGUGGUUUUUUAUUUCUUCAUUUUAUGGCCUGAAAUUAGAUAAGACUACCCGCUGAAUUUAA
rnacentral:misc_RNA from 1 species